UUCACAGUCAUCUUCCGUUAUCUGUGUCACCAUCAUCUCAUGUCUUCUCUGGCAGCACCUCUGCCCAUGCAGCUCCCUUGCCAGACAGCCUCCUUGGGUUGGAGGCAGCAGCGCAGCAGGCCUUGGUGGCUGCAGGGGUGGCAGGCCCCAUGCUUACUGUGGCUGUGUCAGUGAGACUUCAUUUUCAAGCCCCAGAUGUGUGUCCAAAGAACUUGCAUGUUCUCCUGAGCAUGUGCUACUGCUCUGUAUGGAGGUCAGCCACCAGCACCACUCUCCUGUGCAACGUGGAGAGCAGGGCAGAGACAGCGGGCCCAGACUCGAGCAGACAGCAAGUGAAAUCGAAGAGUGGUGGAAGACAGUGGUUUAAGCUGGAGCGGGGUUGUUGGGACUUCUGCCGUACAUCUUGACCCAUGAGCACAUCACUGAGUUCAGUGGAUUUUACAUAUCUUGCCUCAUUGGUACCAGAAUGUAAAUCUUCACUGGAAUAUACUUAGAAAGAUUAAAAUCAGAUGACAGCGUGAAGGUGCACUGCAUGGUUUCUCCCGUGUGACUUUCAGUCUGCGCUUCCUUUCUUAUGUUACAGUUCAGAUUAACAAUUAAUUUCAUUUGAUGUAAAUUCACUGCAAUUAGACAAAUUAGCAAGUAGUUGGCUGUACUGAUUUUCCAGUCUUCUAAAAUGUACUUGCCUUCAAAUUGUAUUUGUCUCCAUAAAAAAAUUGUUAUAUAUUUGAUUAUUAAUGCAUUUAUGCAGUGAUAAUGACUGUUGCAAUUUUCAUUCUGAAGAUAUCUUAAUCUGUAGCUACCAUUUUGAUCUGCUUUCCUGUACUCGUACUACUAAUUUACUAGUCAUUAAACUGUUUUGAAAACCCUG
rnacentral:lncRNA from 1 species